rnacentral:rRNA from 1 species
AACGAACGCUGGCGGCAGGCUUAACACAUGCAAGUCGAACGCAUCCUUCGGGGUGAGUGGCAGACGGGUGAGUAACGCGUGGGAACGUGCCCUUCAGUUCGGAAUAACCCAGGGAAACUUGGGCUAAUACCAGAUACGUGCGAGAGCAGAAAGAUUUAUCGCUGAAGGAUCGGCCCGCGUCUGAUUAGCUAGUUGGUGAGGUAAUGGCUCACCAAGGCGACGAUCAGUAGCUGGUCUGAGAGGAUGAUCAGCCACAUUGGGGCUGAGACACGGCCCAAACACCUACGGGAGGCAGCAGUGGGGAAGAUUGGACAAUGGGCGCAAGCCUGAUCCAGCCAUGCCGCGUGAGUGAUGAAGGCCUUAGGGUUGUAAAGCUCUUUCGUCCGGGACGAUAAUGACGGUACCGGAAGACGAAGCCCCGGCUAACUUCGUGCCAGCCGCCGCCGUAACAC